AUUGAACGCUGGCGGCAGGCCUAACACAUGCAAGUCGAACGAGGGGCGGACGGGUGAGUAAUGUCUGGGAAACUGCCUCAUGGAGGGGGAUAACUACUGGAAACGGUUGCUAAUACCGCAUACCAUCAGAUGAUCCCAUAUGGGAUUAGCUUGUUGGUGGGGUAACGGCUCACCAAGGCGACGAUCCCUAGCUGGUCUGAGAGGAUGAGCGGCAACACUGGGACUGAGAGACGGUCCAGACUCCUACGGGAGGCAGCAGUGGGGAAUAUUGCACAAUGGGCGCAAGCCUGAUGCACCCAUGCCGCGUGUAUGAAGAAGGCCUGCGGGUUGUAAAGUACUUUCAGCGGGGAGGCGGUACCGGCAGAAGAAGCACCGGCUAACUCCGUGCCAGCAGCCGCGGUAAUUC
rnacentral:rRNA from 1 species